rnacentral:rRNA from 1 species
AGAGUUUGAUCAUGGCUCAGGACGAACGCUGGCGGCGUGCCUAAAACAUGCAAGUCGAGCGGAUGAUGAGAGAAGCUUGCUUCUCUCUGAUUUAGCGGCGGACGGGUGAGUAACACGUGGGUAACCCACUUUAUAGAUUGGGAUAACUCCGGGAAACCGGGGCUAAUACCGAAUAAUACUUUUAAACACAUGUUUGAAAGUUGAAAGACGGCUUCGGCUGUCACUAUAAGAUGGACCCGCGGCGCAUUAGCUAGUUGGUGAGGUAACGGCUCACCAAGGCAACGAUGCGUAGCCGACCUGAGAGGGUGAUCGGCCACACUGGGACUGAGACACGGCCCAGACUCCUACGGGAGGCAGCAGUAGGGAAUCUUCCACAAUGGACGAAAGUCUGAUGGAGCAACGCCGCGUGAGUGAAGAAGGAUUUCGGUUCGUAAAACUCUGUUGCAAGGGAAGAACAAGUAGCGUAGUAACUGGCGCUACCUUGACGGUACCUUGUUAGAAAGCCACGGCUAACUACGUGCCAGCAGCCGCGGUAAUACGUAGGUGGCAAGCGUUGUCCGGAAUUAUUGGGCGUAAAGCGCGCGCAGGUGGUUCCUUAAGUCUGAUGUGAAAGCCCCCGGCUCAACCGGGGAGGGUCAUUGGAAACUGGGGAACUUGAGUGCAGAAGAGGAUAGUGGAAUUCCAAGUGUAGCGGUGAAAUGCGUAGAGAUUUGGAGGAACACCAGUGGCGAAGGCGACUGUCUGGUCUGUAACUGACACUGAGGCGCGAAAGCGUGGGGAGCAAACAGGAUUAGAUACCCUGGUAGUCCACGCCGUAAACGAUGAGUGCUAAGUGUUGGGGGGUUUCCGCCCCUCAGUGCUGCAGCUAACGCAUUAAGCACUCCGCCUGGGGAGUACGGUCGCAAGACUGAAACUCAAAUGAAUUGACGG